rnacentral:rRNA from 1 species
GUAGGGAAUAUUGGGCAAUGGAGGCAACUCUGACCCAGCCAUGCCGCGUGCAGGAUGACGGCCCUCUGGGUUGUAAACUGCUUUUAUACGGGAAGAAAAAAUACUACGUGUAGUAUACUGACGGUACCGUAAGAAUAAGGAUCGGCUAACUCCGUGCCAGCAGCCGCGGUAAUACGGAGGAUCCAAGCGUUGUCCGGAUUUAUUGGGUUUAAAGGGUGCGUAGGCGGAUCUUUAAGUCAGUGGUGAAAGCCUGCAGCUUAACUGUAGAAUUGCCAUUGAAACUGAAGAUCUUGAAUGUGGUUAAAGUAGGCGGAAUGUAUCAUGUAGCGGUGAAAUGCUUAGGUAUGAUACAGAACACCGAUAGCGAAGGCAGCUUGCUGAACCAUUAUUGACGCUGAGGCACGAAAGCGUGGGGAGCGAACAGGAUUAGAAACCCCUGUAGUCC